UACGGGAGGGUGCAAGCGUUGUCCGGAUUUAUUGGGUUUAAAGGGUGCGUAGGCGGCCCGUUAAGUCAGUGUGAAAGCCUCCAGCUCAACAUGGAGAACUGCCAUUUGAUACUGACGGGCUUGAGUACAGACGAGGUUGGCGGAAUUGAUUGUGUAGCGGUGAAAUGCAUAGAUACAAUCAAGAACUCCGAUUGCGUAGGCAGCUAACUAGGCUGUAACUGACGCUGAGGCACGAAAGCGUGGGGAGCGAACAGG
rnacentral:rRNA from 1 species